rnacentral:rRNA from 1 species
GACGAACGCUGGCGGCGUGCUUAACACAUGCAAGUCGAACGGAAAGGCCCUGCUUUUGUGGGGUGCUCGAGUGGCGAACGGGUGAGUAACACGUGAGUAACCUGCCCUUGACUUUGGGAUAACUUCAGGAAACUGGGGCUAAUACCGGAUAGGAGCUCCUGCUGCAUGGUGGGGGUUGGAAAGUUUCGGCGGUUGGGGAUGGACUCGCGGCUUAUCAGCUUGUUGGUGGGGUAGUGGCUUACCAAGGCUUUGACGGGUAGCCGGCCUGAGAGGGUGACCGGCCACAUGGGGACUGAGAUACGGCCCAGACUCCUACGGGAGGCAGCAGUGGGGAAUAUUGCACAAUGGGCGGAAGCCUGAUGCAGCAACGCCGGGUGCGGGAUGACGGCCUUCGGGUUGUAAACCGCUUUCGCCUGUGACGAAGCGUGAGUGACGGUAAUGGGUGAAGAAGCACCGGCUAACUACGUG